AGGGCACCACCAGGAGUGGAGCCUGCGGCUUAAUUUGACUCAACACGGGGAAACUCACCCGGCCCGGACACCGUAAGGAUUGACAGAUUGAUAGCUUUUUCAUGAUUCGGUGGAUGGUGGUGCAUGGCCGUUCUUAGUUCGUGGAGCGAUUUGUCUGGUUUAUUCCGAUAACGAGCGAGACUCUGGCCUACUAAAUAGUUGGCGCAUUGCUUCUGGGGGGGCAACUUUUUUUAGGGGUUUUUUCGGUGUACCCCCCCAAAAAAAUGAAAAAAAAGGGGUGUGUGGCGCCCUUAGGUGCCCGGCGGUGCCCGCGCUCCACUGUGAAAAAAACCGCGUGGUUGUUCUUCCCCGAAAGGGGGUGGAAACCCCGAAAAAAUUUCCCGUGAUUGGUAUCAGAUAUUGCUAUUAUUGCCCGAGAACGAAGAAUUCCUUGGAGGGGAGAGUCAUCAUCUCGCUCUGAAUACCCCCCUGCCCUUUGCACACCGCGCCCGUCGGUGCGGGAGAGUGAAGUAUUUCGAA
rnacentral:rRNA from 1 species